AGGCUCUGCUCUGAAGACUGAGGUGGGUCUGCCACUCUGUAGGCUGAAACACGAGCUCUGGAGACUGUCAUUUGCACUUGUGUCUAGAAGUGCCUGUCUUCUGACUAUCGUAUUCUUCCAUGGAGCACCGGGGUGGCAGAUCUCCAGGAGAACCCAUUCUGCCUUUCAUUGAGGUUGCCUUCCAUCCUGGAGUCAAGUUCUGCCCAACAUCACAGGAUUUAGUUGCCUCCUUCACUCCUUUUUGGCUACUAGGCUACUAUUCUAUAUACUAAGUAUCGCACUCUGAGUCUUCCUGGCCAAUAUAACUGGAUUGAGAAGCACCUAAAAGAUAGAUCUUUGGGGACCAAAUCCACGCCCUCAUUCAUGAUGCUCAAACCCUCUACCUCCGAGUCACAUCGCGGCCCUGUGAAUGCUUAUUCUCACGAGUGUCCUGAAGCCUCCUGGCAGCCCUGCUCUGUAACUUACAUAAAAGUAAUGGCUGACGUAUUCCACAACCAGAACCAUUGUAGCUGUCUUCAAAUGCUUGAAUGGAGAAGGAUCCUGGGCCUCAGUAGAACAGUGGGAUGAGAAAGCUAACUUAGUUCAUCCAUCUGUGCUUGUCUACCAUGAUACCCAACAAACAACACACCGUUUGCACCAUUUGAAACUGCCCAACACACGAGUCCUCUCUGUAUUCCCCAAACUUCAUUUAUUCCACACAGAAUCUCUGGACUCAUUAAACAGUACCAGUGCCUGGGCCAGCAAGAUGGAUGGCUUGGUGGGUAAAGGUGCCUGCUACAGAGCCUGAGGAUGCCAGCCCAACCCCUGGAACCCACACGGUGGAAGAAAACUAACUUUAACAAGCUGUCUUUUGAUGUCCACAUGUGAGUUGAGGUGUGAGCCCCCCUCCUUAGCUAAACAGACCUAUGUAAUAAAAAAGUAAUUCAAACCAA
rnacentral:lncRNA from 1 species